GGAGGACACGAUGAGAAGUCAGCUGUGUGCAGCCUGCAAGAAGGCUCUCACCAGAACCCAACCAUGCUGGCACUCUGACCUUGAACUUCCAGCCUCCAGAACAGUGAACAAUAAAUGUCUGCUGUUUAUAAGCCUCCCGGCCUGUGGCGUCGGUUAGAGCAGCCCAAACAGAUUCCGAGAGGGCCGAAACGAAGCCAGGGGCCUCGGUUCUCUUCGUCUUCCCUCUCGGUGACACCUGACGAGGGAGCAAGUUCGUCCCCUGGAGGGAAACAGAUGCCUGCCCAGCAAACAAGAAGAACCCAGGACAUUCCUGGGCAGGAGCUUCGGCCUGUCUGGAAGGGAUGAGCGGCCCCAGCAGAAGCAGCAGAACCUUCUCACCACCAGAGUCUGAACUCGCUGUCCUGGAUCCAGAAAGAUAAAAGGGGGCAAGCGUGAGUGCCAGGGCUCUCCUUUUCCCCAUCGAGCAGUUGGCGGCCUCAGAAACAGCCACGUCAUAGGAACGUUACCAGAUAUGCACAGAGGGAUGUUAUUCAGCCUUAGGAGAGAAUGAAACUCUGACACGUGACAACGCGGAUGAACCUGAAGACAUGGUGCUGAGCGAGAUGAGCCAGAUGCCGCAGUUCGACUUACUGAGGCUCCCAGAGUCGUGAAUUCAGAGGGACAGAAGGCAGAAUGCGGAUUGCCGAGGACCAGGGGAGAUGGGAGUGGGGACAGCUUUGGGAAGAAAGUAAAGAGGAUUCCUCUUUCCCCGAGGAAGUGAUCGCAUCUUUAUGUAGAAGAAGUCAACAGGCGAAUUUGCAGUGAGAUCUUUGAACUAAGGCUCUUAAGGGCACCUACCCGUCUGACACCAUUUGAAAGAGAAACUCAACUGAAAGCCUUCUGGAAAAAGACAAAAAGACACACCCGAACAGAGGACAAACAGGGAGCCUGGAAAAGAGAGACAGAGCGAGAAACAGGGUGACGUGUGUCCCAGUUUGCCAGGAGCUGUCCCACUUUAGCACCAGAUGUCUGAGCCCGUGGGUGUGCAUUGCACCCUAGUCUGAGCUAGAGGCCUCGGAUGGAGCACAGAAGACGUCGCAGUCUCAAAUUGGUUUACAGAAUACUUCUCAUUUCUCCCUACAAAUGUGAAGUGUAAUUUCACAAAUGAAUGACGUAUCGUGUGUGGAAGAGUCACAUGAAAACUAUGGACUCAUAACUGGAAAAUGUUUCAGGGUGACUCACUCAAGUGAAUAGAUCCCAUGAGAGCAGGGACAAGGCUCCUCCCCUCGCCCUCUCUCCUCUGUGGCAACCGGGAUUCCCUGUGGGUCGAAUCGUGCCCUUGCCCUAAAUAUGUUCAAGUGCUAACCCCAGCUACCUAUAAAGACGACCUUAUUUAGAGAUGGGAUCCCUCCGGAUGUAAUCAAGUUGAGUUCAGACUAGAUUAGACCUGGGCCUGAAUGACCCAGUGACUGGUGUCCUUAAAAAGGGAAUUCUGGACACAGAAACAGACACAAAGGAAGAAGUCCAUGUGACAAUGGAGGCAGAGAUUAGAGUGAUGCACUUAUAAGCUGAGGAAGGCCAGGGAUUGCUGGCAGCCCUCAGAAGCGAGGAAGGCAUGGAGUAGAUUCUCCCUCAGAGCUUCCAAAAUAGGAGCGAGCCCUGCUGACACUUGGGCGUCAGAUACCUACCCUCUAGAACUCGAGAGAAUAAGCUCCUGUUGUGCUACACCAACCAGAUGGUAGUACCUUGUUACAGCAGCCCCGGGAAACUAAUACAGAUGCUUCCACAUAGGUAACCCCAGGGAUCCUGAACAUUCAUAGAAUCUUUUUGAGUAACUACAAAGUUUCCAGAGCCUCUGUGGGCAUUAUGGGAGAAGCAAAGUCAAUGCCAAGACCCGGCCUCCUCUUUUGCCUGACUACCCCUGCGUCCUUUCCGAGUCUCCACAGAGCUGUUACCCCUUCUCGAAAGCCUUGCCCUCACUGGGUCUCCCUAGGUGGGCUCCAGUGGUUCGCAGCCACCUCUGGGUAUCAGAAUCACCCAGGGAGCUUUUAAAACAUGCUAAUGCCCUGUGACCUGAGAGUCUGAACAUGCGAGUUCAGGGCGUAGCAAGGGUGUUUUCUAAGACUUUGUAACGUGCAGGGUUGAGAAUCUCCGUUGGGGUGUUCCCUGCCCCCAGAUUCUCACCGCACCCUAUGAGUACUUCAGCCACAGACACCCUCGGUAUUGUGUUGAAAUCAUAUGCUUCUUUUCAUCUAGAAGAACAUUUCUCAGUUUGGGCUGCGUGAUCAAGUCACCAAAGGAGCUGAGAGCCCUGGCGUGCCCGACCAACCCCGGACCUCUGGAGUCAGGAGCUCUCUGGCUGUCUGCAAUUUGCAGCCAAGUUUGAAAACGACUGUACCAGAUCAUGAACUCUGUUGGAGCAGGAGUCUGGCUUUCUUGAUUUUGGGAACUCCCUGGCUACUAGGCUCCUGGUGCGUCCUGCUGCUGCGAGCCCACCAGUAGAUGUUUCUUAAAUUGAAGAUUUGUGGCACCCCAGCAUCAAGCAAUUAUUUUCAGAUGUUAUUUUCCCAACAGUAUCUGCUCCCUUCAUAGCUCUGUGUGUUAUAUUUUGGUAAUUCUCGCAGUACUUCAAGCCUUCUCAUCAUAUUUGUUAUGGUGAUCUGUGAUCAGUGAUUAUCACUUGCUGAAAGCUCAGAUGAGGGUGAGCAUUCUUUUUAGCAAUAAAGUAUUUUCAA